GACGAACGCUGGCGGCGUGGAUUAGGCAUGCAAGUCGAACGGUAUCAUCCUUUCGGGGGUGAGAGAGUGGCGAACUGGUGAGUAACACGUAGGUUAUCUACCCUCAAGACGGGGACAACCCAGGGAAACUUGGGCUAAUACCGGAUGUGAGCAACUUUUAGUUGUUUGAAAGGUGGCGUAAGCUGUCGCUUGGGGAUGAGCCUGCGUCCUAUUAGUUAGUUGGUGAGGUAACGGCUCACCUAGGCAAUGAUAGGUAGGCGGCCUUAACGGGUGGUCGCCCACACUGGGAUUGAGAUACGGCCCAGACUCCUACGGGAGGCAGCAGUCGAGAAUAGUCUACAAUGGUCGGAAGACUGAUAGUGCGACGCCGCGUGAACGAUGAAUCCCUUCGGGGUGUAAAGUUCUUUUAUAUGUGAGCAAGUGCUUCUUAUAUUAACAGUAUGGGGAAGAGAUAUUAGCAUAUGAAUAAGCAAGGCUAACUCCGUGCCAGCAAGCCGAGGUAAAA
rnacentral:rRNA from 1 species